rnacentral:tRNA from 1 species
UGGCGUAGUGGUUAAGUGUUUGGCUGCUAACCAAAAGGAGGGUAGUUCGAAUCCAUC